rnacentral:rRNA from 1 species
GGCGGACGGGUGAGUAACACGUUGGAACCUGCCCCAAAGUGAGGAAUAAGCCACCGAAAGGUGGUCUAAUACUUCAUAAUAUCCAUCUCGUAUGGAUUAAAGCUUUAUGCGCUUUGGGAGGGGCCUGCGUAACAUUAGCUUGUUGGUGAGGUAAAAGCUCACCAAGGGCUUCGAUGUUUAACUGGUUUGAGAGGAUGACCGGCCACACUGGGACUGAGACACGGCCCAGACUCCUACGGGAGGCAGCAGUGGGGAAUAUUGCGCAAUGGGCGAAAGCCUGACGCAGCGACGCCGCGUGAGGGAUGAAGGCCUUCGGGUUGUAAACCUCUUUCAGCAGGGACGAAGCGAAAGUGACGGUACCUGCAGAAGAAGCACCGGCUAACUACGUG